rnacentral:piRNA from 1 species
UAAGAAUAUGGUCAGCUACAAGUGAAC